rnacentral:rRNA from 1 species
AUGGUGAGCUGGCCCGACAUUUGCAAACCCAAAGACCAGGGUGGCCUUGGGAUCUUGUCAUCUCGUCGCAUUAACAUUGCUCUCCUGACCCGCUGGCUGUGGCGUAUCGCCAAUGGGGAGGGAGGCCUCUGGCUUACCAUCAUCCAUAAUAAAUACCUUCGGGGCCAACCUCUGGCCUUUUGCCAACGUACAGGUGGAUCCCAGUUCUGGCAGCCCGUGAUCCAACUUCUGCCCGCGCUCCGCAUCGGCACGUCCAUCUCUGUUGGCUCCGGGUCCUCGACCCUGUUCUGGUUCGACCGAUGGCUAGGGGACUCCCCCCCUGCUGUGCCAUUCCCAGGAUUCUUUGCCAUUGCGGCGGACCCUCAGGUCUUUGUCCAGACGGCCCUUAUUGACUUGGGGCGUCUUGCUUUCCGUCGUCCCUUCGGCCCCCUCGAGGUGGCUGCUUGGGACUCCCUCCUCCAAGACGUCGCCCUUAUGCCGAUGAUCGUCGAGGAGGACCAGGAUGCCAUUUCCUGGCGCCUUGACCCGUCUGGCCGCUUCUCUACGAAGUCGUUGUACGCCGCCAUUGCGCCUUCGACGGCCCCGAAACCCUUUAGCCUGAUCUGGGACAUCCGCCUACACUACAAAAAAAUACACUUCCGUGAUGAUACGUGUUUGUCACAGUAG